rnacentral:rRNA from 1 species
GAUGAACGCUGGCGGCGUGCUUAACACAUGCAAGUCGAACGGAAGUUUUAAAAGGAAGUUUUCGGAUGGAAAUUUAAAACUUUAGUGGCGGACGGGUGAGUAACGCGUGGGUAACCUGCCGUAUACAGGGGGAUAACACUUAGAAAUAGGUGCUAAUACCGCAUAAGCGCAAAGCAUCGCAUGAUGCAGUGGGAAAAGCUGAGACGGUAUACGAUGGACCCGCGUCUGAUUAGCUAGUUGGUGAGGUAGAGGCUCACCAAGGCGACGAUCAGUAGCCGGCCUGAGAGGGUGACCGGCCACAUUGGGACUGAGACACGGCCCAAACUCCUACGGGAGGCAGCAGUGGGGAAUAUUGCACAAUGGGGGAAACCCUGAUGCAGCGACGCCGCGUGAGUGAAGAAGUAUUUCGGUAUGUAAAGCUCUAUCAGCAGGGAAGAAAAUGACGGUACCUGACUAAGAAGCCCCGGCUAACUACGUGCCAGCAGCCGCGGUAAUAC